UCCCUGUGCAGCAUGGGGAUGGGGUCAUUUGCAGCUUUAAACUGGUGUACAUGGUGGAUUCUCUGUAACUUGAAGUCUUUAAAUCCUGGUUUGAGGACUUCAGUAAUUUAGCCAGAGGUUAUAUCUAUUACAAGAGUGGGUAUGCAAGCUUCUGUGACCUGCAAUAUGCAGGAGAUCAGACUAGAUGAUCAUGA